CUACAAUAACGAAUUCUCGAGGCACGGUUCAGUUGGAUGUAGAGCGACCUGUCUUAUUUGAUGUUUGCACCGACCGACUAGUGCGUCUUCAUACUAUUAUCAAAUUGGUCAAUAAGCAAUUGAAGAAGGAAGAUACGAUAACCGAAGGAGAUACAACUCAGUCGACUAUGAGGACACUUCGAAAAUUUAUGACGAGUCGUGGAGUAGCGAAUGUGACGCUACGCACGGGGCAGGUUGGCUUGAGGGGGUCGGCAGGGACGGUGGG